CCUACGGGAGGCAGCAGUGGGGAAUAUUGGUCAAUGGACGCAAGUCUGACCCAGCAAAGCCGCGUGAAGGAAGAAGGCUUUCGGGUUGUAAACUUCUUUUAAGGGGGAAGAGCAGAAGACGGUACCCCUUGAAUAAGCAACGGCUAACUACGGGCCAGCAGCCGCGGUAAUACGGAGGUGGCAAGCGUUGACCGGAUUUACUGGGUGUAACGGGCGUGCAGCCGGGGAGACAAGUCAGAUGGGAAAUCCACGGGCUCAACCCGUGAACUGCAUUUGAAACUGUUUCCCUUGAGUGUCUGAGAAGUAUUCGGAAUGCCUGGUGUAGCGGUGAAAUGCAUAGAUAUAAGGAAGAACACCGGUGGCGAAGGCGGAUUACUGGACGAUAACUGACGGUGAGGCGCGAAAGCGUGGGGAGCGAACAGGAUUAGAUACCCGGGUAGUC
rnacentral:rRNA from 1 species